rnacentral:lncRNA from 1 species
GAUACUACAAAUAUUAUCUUUUGCACAGUUACACUCGGGCGCAAAAAGUUCCACGAGGAGCAGUGGCGUGGCGUGACGUGCUUUGCGAUAAAUCGAUUGAUCUGUCAUUUAAAUUUAUGGAAAAGGAUCGAUGAACAUGGUGUUCGCUGCGAACACCUUCACAAUCGAUUCUUUACUAUAGCUUCAAAUCGAGAAAUAUCGAUAAUCGAUCACAUUCACGCUUCGCCAAUGACGUGGAGACACAGUAUGUGCUGCAAACGUAGUAUUUCAAUCAAGAUGUCGUAAAACUAAGGAAAAGUACUGAGAUUAAGUAUACAUCAAUUGCAAGACGGCCGAUAUAAAUAGACCGCUGCGAAUUUUUAGACUACACAACUAGUUCUGGAGUAGAGAAUUUAGUUUUUCACCAGUGAAUUUAGUUCUGCCUUCAAAAUCAGAAAACCAUUCACAAUGAAUUUCCGUGCUUCUCAACUAUUGUGCAUUUUUAUGGUAAUAUGCGGUGUUUGCAGCACCCUUGCUGCACUAAUUGACCUCGAUUCAGAGACGAUUUCUGCAAUCCUGGCGCGUCGGUCUGAGCCUGCAGAAUGUAGCAACUGUGGUUGCCCCGAUCGUAUGGCCGGUAAAUGCCCUCGCUGCUCAAUUGCAUGUUGCUAUUAUAGCUGCACAGGCCCGGACUUGCAAUAAGGCCGAUCUGCCAUUGGCGGAUACGUCCCCUUGGCGCGGCGAAAAUGCGCCCCCCUGACAGGUGGCAGAAUAAGAAGAUAACAACAAUUACUACCGAGAAAAUAUGAGGAUUUCUUCACAUAAUAUAGACAACUGACAAACACAAUUCCCUGGAUGUGCUUCGACGACGGCACAGAGAUACAACUGUUCGUGCUUGAUGGACGUCUGUGCUGCAUCUGAAAAAUUUAAGGCGCGAUGACGCGAGGCGUGAACUCGCAAUGCUACACUGAAAAAAAAGUAUACUAUUUAUACGGCGGUGCCGCCGUGGACCAAGUAACCGUUUACUCAAAAAGUAUCGACAAGUGACGAAAUUUUGUUCCAACGGAACAGAGUUCGAUUGAAUCAGGUAGACGCGUUAUCUCAAACUAGCACUCCACGUGUAUUUGG